GCGACAAUCAACCAUUCGGGUGCCUGCCCGCGUCGCGAGAUGCCGGCGGGAGAAUAGGGAAGAGGGUGAGACUCCCUCGCUGCCCCGCAACUGUAAGUGGUGAUGACCGCCGAUCGAGCCACUGUCCCUUCCCGGGACGGGAAGGCACGGCCAGUAAAUCGACCCACGAGCCAGGAGACCUGCCCGGAUGUCGCAGUAACG
rnacentral:ncRNA from 2 species